CCUGGUUGAUCCUGCCAGUGGUCAUAUGCUUGUCUCAAAGAUUAAGCCAUGCAUGUUUAAGCAGAAGCCGCACAAUGGUAAAGCCGCGAAUCGCUCAUUACAACAGCCGUCGUUUCUUGGAUCUCUAAUUUUACUUGGAUAACUGUGGUAAUUCUAGAGCUAAUACACGCACUAAAGCUCUGACCUUACGGGACGAGCGCAUUUAUUAGAACAAAACCAAUCGGGUUUCGGCCCGUGCGUUGGUGACUCUGAAUAACUCUGCCGAUCGCAUGGUCUCGCACCGGCGACGUAUCUUUCAAGUGUCUGCCUUAUCAACUUUCGAUGGUAGUUUAUGUGCCUACCAUGGUUGUAACGGGUAACGGAGAAUAAGGGUUCGACUCCGGAGAGGGAGCCUGAGAAACGGCUACCACAUCCAAGGAAGGCAGCAGGCGCGCAAAUUACCCACUCUCGGCACGAGGAGGUAGUGACGAAAAAUAACGAGAUGGAUCUCUUUGAGGCCCAUUAUCGGAAUGAGAACAAUUCAAAUCCUUUAACGAGGAUCUAGCGGAGGGCAAGUCUGGUGCCAGCAGCCGCGGUAAUUCCAGCUCCGCAGGUGUAUAUCUAUGCUGCUGCGGUUAAAAAGCUCGUAGUUGGAUCUGCGUGCUCGGAACUGGUUGGCUCACUGAGUUCAAACUGGUCUCCGGCGCUUUAUUUGCUGGUUUUCCCUUGAUGCUCUUAACCGGGUGUCUCGGGUGGCUAGCGUGUUUACUUUGAAAAAAUUAGAGUGCUCAAUACAGGCGCAAAGCCUUGAAUAGUGGUGCAUGGAAUAAUAGAAUAGGACCUCGGCUCUAUUUUGUUGGUUUUCGGAACACGAGGUAAUGAUUAAGAGGGACAGACGGGGGCAUUCGUAUUGCGACGUUAGAGGUGAAAUUCUUGGAUCGUCGCAAGACGGACGACUGCGAAAGCAUUUGCCAAGAGUGUUUUCAUUAAUCAAGAACGAAAGUUAGAGGUUCGAAGGCGAUCAGAUACCGCCCUAGUCCUAACCGUAAACGAUGCCAACUAGCGAUUCGCAGGCGUUAAACAACGACCUUGCGGGCAGCUUCCCGGAAACGAAAGUGUUCCGGUUCCGGGGGAAGUAUGGUUGCAAAGCUGAAACUUGAAGGAAUUGACGGAAGGGCACCACCAGGAGUGGAGCCUGCGGCUUAAUUUGACCCAACACGGGAAAACUCACCCGUCCCGGACACCGUAAGGA
rnacentral:rRNA from 1 species